rnacentral:lncRNA from 1 species
GAAACAAUAUGAAAAAAACCCAUACUAUCAUCUUGUUUACAUGUAGAUAAUGUACUCUACAUGCUAUGUGCUUAGAAAUACAUAGGACAUAGUAAAUAAUGGUGUCACCUGUUAUUAUACAACUAGACAGUCAAAAUAGUUAAUUUAUCGCAAGGCUUAUCGUAAUGAAGGAAAGGAGGUUGGUUUAAUAAUGCAUAUGGAUAUGAGAAAUGAGAAUUUCCAAACUCAAAAUGGUACAUGUGUACAAAUGCAACUCAAAUUAAUGCUAACGACUUAAAUUUAAUUAUUUUUAGAACAUUCCUAUGCCCAUGUAAAUAACCUGUAUUGAGUCAGUUAACUCUAGUUCUGCCCUAAAAACACUGACUCCCAAAGAGCCAUACUGGUCUCUGUGUUCAAUUUUCUUAAAAUAGCAAUUUUCGGCUUCAAAGAACUUAGAAGCUACUUGCAAGCACUAUCAGAAAUUACUGUAAUAGUUAUGUUUAGCCAAAAACAUACUGACUGGUGUAUAACCUGUUGUAUUAAGGUAAUAUUGGGAGCUAUAAUAAGAACUGAACCAUAGUCUGAGUUCUCUCAGACUAUAAAUCAAAGUAUAAAAUAAACACACCAUUUUCUUAAAACACCCUUUUACAUCAGAAGCCCAGAAGACUUACUAGUGCUGGGUGCUGCAUUCCUCAGACUCAAACCAAAUAUCAAGUCCUCAAUAUUAAACUCAAAUAUUUACAAUCUAUUCAUGAUCUCCUUUGGGCACUACACUGUCUUAAUCUACACUUUGUAUAAAAUGUUAUGAAAUGUUACCAUAUUUGGAUGAUAACAAUGUGCAUGGAUUCAUUCAAUGAAAAAAGCAUAAAUUUCAAGGGAGGCAGACAGAUGGCCUCAUCGUUGCCAUUUUAAAGCACAAUGAAAAAGAAAUUGGUUUGUUACUAAAAUUAUGGAGCUAGUAUGUAGUACUUAUGUUUGAAAUUCUCCAUAACAAAUGUUUUAAAAGACUGUAUUAUUCUGAAGAGCAAUGAACAAAUAUGCUAAUUUUAAACAGCCGGCUUAGACACAUGCUCGUUAAUAACAUGCUACUGCUGUAUUACUAGCCUUGUCUUAAAAAGCACAUUCACUUAAAAGAUUUUUGUGUAAUUUUUCAUUUAUUUGUUUACUUUUUUACUGUGUGUGUGCACAGAUGUGGAGGUGAGAGAGGCGCCAGCCUUUGGAGGUUGGUUCUCCCUGCCCAUCAUGUGGGCUCUGGAGUCCAAUUCAAGUCAUCACCUGCUAAGCCAUUUCAACCAGAACCUGAAGUGCUUAUUUUCAAUAAAUAAUUAUUUUAAAUAAAUCAUGUAGGAAGAACAUUUGGUUUGGAUUGUUUUUCUAAAGCCAAAAAUCCAGCAACCAAAAAAAUUAGUCUAUAAGUGUAUUUGACCAGCUUUUUGGUUUUGGUUUUGGUGGUUUUUUGUUUGUUUGUUUGUUUGUUGGUUUUUUUUUGCCAAAGGCUAACUAUAAAAUGAGAAAACCUGGUCAUUAGAUUAAAAUAACUAACUUUUAUACUAGCUUAUUAGACACUAGGCAGUGUCUUGACUGUUUUAUACACACACACACACACACACACACACACACACACACACACACACAGUCCAGUCCUUGCCCUAGAAACUUGGCAAAGCUCUUCUUGUUUUACAGACAGAACAUGAGGAGGCAGUCAGUAACUUGCUCACAUCACAUCGCACUGACUAUUCUGACCUAGCCACCAGCUGUGCUACAC